UGUGAGUAAAGUGGCGUACGGGUGAGUAACACGUGGAUCAUCUACCUUCUAGUGGGGAAUACCUCUGGGAAACCGGAGAUAAUUCCGCAUAAGCUCGUGAGAGGAAAGCAGCAAUGCGCUGAAAGAGGAGUCCGCGGCCGAUUAGCUAGUUGGUGAGGUAACGGCCCACCAAGGCGACGAUCGGUAGCCGGCCUGAGAGGGCACACGGCCACACUGGCACUGAAACACGGGCCAGACUCCUACGGGAGGCAGCAGUGGGGAAUCUUGCACAAUGGAGGAAACUCUGAUGCAGCGACGCCGCGUGAGCGAUGAAGCCCCUCGGGGUGUAAAGCUCUUUCGACGGGAACGAUAAUGACGGUACCCGGAGAAGAAGCUGCGGCUAACUACGUGCCAGCAGCCACGGUAAUACGUAGGCAGCGAGCGUUAUUCGGAAUUACUGGGCGUAAAGAGUGUGUAGGCGGUGCCCUAAGUUCGGUGUGAAAUCUCCUGGCUCAACUGGGAGGGUGCGCCGGAAACUGGGGUGCUCGAGCGUGGGAGAGGAAAGCGGAAUUCCUGGUGUAGCGGUGAAAUGCGUAGACAUCAGGAGGAACACCUGCGGUGUAGACAGCUUUCUGGACCAUAGCUGACGCUGAGACACGAAAGCGUGGGUAGCAAACAGGAUUAGAUACCCUGGUAGUCCACGCCCUAAACGAUGCAUACUUGGUGUCGGCCAUUCAGUUGGUCGGUGCCGGAGCUAACGCGUUAAGUAUGC
rnacentral:rRNA from 1 species